AACGGGUUGGCUGGCUUGACAGAUCACGCUACAAGCAGAUCUCCUCCCCUGGCGAACAUCGGGGGGAUAUCGGCGGCUAAAAAAGAACGUGUCUCUUUGCAGCGGAAAUGAGGUAUCUGUUUUCGCCAGUAUGCAUGGAAGCGUAUCAUUGCAUUAAUAGGUGGAAAGAGUUACAAGGGUAAAGGAUCCUCCAACACGUACACUGCAAGGCAUGUAAACUAGUGGUAAGAGGCACUCGAGAGCACAAGAGAGGGGUUGAUCAGGCCCAAGCUGUAGUUCAAGUUACAUUAAUCGCAGCCUCCCUUGACGUUGUCUCGUGAAGAACAGUUUAGGGUCUUUUAGGUUUUUCUUCGCUCCAUGGCUCCGCUCCCGGAGCGGAUGAAGCUGCAGUACAAAAUGUUGGAGCUACCAAAUGGGUGCUCCCACAUAUCCGUGGAUUAUAAAAAGCUGGUGGAUUGCCGAACGUGUCCUUAGAGUCCUCCCACCUUCGCUCGAUCCAUAUGGGUGCCCUGGUGAUUGUGAUUGUGGAUGAAGAAACGACGGAAAGGUCAAGAUCCUAUUACAGGGUGGCAACUUUGUAGGACCACCACCUCACUUUACGACCUAGGACGUUGACAAGCAGACAUGUUCACAACAAGCUUCAUGAACAUAAAAUUCCAUCUCCUACAUGGUGAACUUGUUGUUGUAACAGGAACCUCGCCAACACCCUGUACAUGUAGGCUCACAUUACCUUCCGCCUACUGCGUCACAGAAGAAGAGGUAGCCGUACAUUGCACUGAUUCUGCCGCAGUGGGAAAAGCAUACCCACUAACAUGUUGGUUCUCUCCAAUAUCUCCCCAAAAUGUUGUGGUUUUACUAGUAGUACUAGUGAAUGGCACCAUUCUAGAGCACUUAAGCGCAAACACUGAUUGCUAGCUAACUAGCAGUAAUUGACACGAAAUAUGGUGGCAAAUGAAAUCCGUUGACGAUAUAUAUAUAGAGGCGGACUUCCCUGCAAUA
rnacentral:lncRNA from 1 species